CGGGUGAGUAAUGCCUAGGAAUCUGCCUGGUAGUGGGGGAUAACGUUCGGAAACGGACGCUAAUACCGCAUACGUCCUACGGGAGAAAGCAGGGGACCUUCGGGCCUUGCGCUAUCAGAUGAGCCUAGGUCGGAUUAGCUAGUUGGUGAGGUAAUGGCUCACCAAGGCGACGAUCCGUAACUGGUCUGAGAGGAUGAUCAGUCACACUGGAACUGAGACACGGUCCAGACUCCUACGGGAGGCAGCAGUGGGGAAUAUUGGACAAUGGGCGAAAGCCUGAUCCAGCCAUGCCGCGUGUGUGAAGAAGGUCUUCGGAUUGUAAAGCACUUUAAGUUGGGAGGAAGGGCAGUUACCUAAUACGUGAUUGUUUUGACGUUACCGACAGAAUAAGCACCGGCUAACUCUGUGCCAGCAGCCGCGGUAAUC
rnacentral:rRNA from 1 species